CCUACGGGUGGCAGCAGUGGGGGAUAUUGCACAAUGGGGGAAACCCUGAUGCAGCGACGCCGCGUGUGGGAAGACGGUCCUCUGGAUUGUAAACCACUGUCCCCAGGGACGAAGAUGACGGUACCUGGGGAGGAAGCUCCGGCUAACUACGUGCCAGCAGCCGCGGUAAUACGUAGGGAGCGAGCGUUGUCCGGAAUUACUGGGUGUAAAGGGAGCGUAGGCGGGGAUGCAAGUUGGGGGUCAAAACUACCGGCUCAACUGGUAGUCGCACUCAAAACUGCAGCUCUUGAGUGACGUAGAGGCAGGCGGAAUGCCGGGUGUAGCGGUGAAAUGCGUAGAUAUUAGGAGGAACACCAGUGGCGAAGGCGGAUUGCUGGACAGUAACUGACGCUGAGGCGCGAAAGCGUGGGGAGCGAACAGGAUUAGAUACCCUGGUAGUC
rnacentral:rRNA from 1 species